rnacentral:rRNA from 1 species
GAUGAACGCUGGCGGCGUGCUUAACAUAUGCAAGUCGAACGAUGAAGCCGGAGCUUGCUCUGGUGAAUUAGUGGCGAACGGGUGAGUAACACGUGAGUAACCUGCCCUUGACUCUGGGAUAACUGCGGGAAACUGUAGCUAAUACCGGAUACGACUCUCGGAGGCAUCUCCUGGGGGUGGAAAGAAUUUCGGUCAAGGAUGGACUCGCGGCCUAUCAGCUAGUUGGUGAGGUAAAGGCUCACCAAGGCGACGACGGGUAGCCGGCCUGGGAGGGUGACCGGCCACACUGGGGCUGAGACAUGGCCCAGACUCCUACGGGAGGCAGCAGUGGGGAAUAUUGCACAAUGGGCGCAAGCCUGAUGUAGCAACGCCGCGUGAGGGAUGACGGCCUUCGGGUUGUAAACCUCUUUUAGCAGGGAAGAAGCGAAAGUGACGGUACCUGCAGAAAAAGCACCGGCUAACUACGUGCCAGCAGCCGCGGUAA